rnacentral:rRNA from 1 species
UCUGGUGACCUUGGAGGAGGGGCAACACCCGUUCCCAUACCGAACACGGCCGUUAAGCCCUCCAUCGCCGAUGGUACUGCAGGGUAUCCCUUGUGGAAGAGUAGGACGUUGCCAGAU